rnacentral:lncRNA from 8 species
AUGCCAGGCUCCGGCAUCCGCCGUCAUCCAUCGUGUUGUAGUCAUCCCAGGUUGUUGUGGGCGGUUUCAGUGGGGGCUGAAAAUAGUUAUUUUCUCUCUCUCUCUCUCUCUCUCUCUCUCUCUCUCUCUCUCUCUCUCUCUCAGGUUAGCCUGACAGGGAGAGGCUGCAGGACUGGAAGAGAGGGAAGAGUGACUGGGCGCUGCAGGAAAUUGGCCACCCAAUUGGCCACCCCAUCCUGGUUGGUGAAGAUAAUUCAACAUGUGAACGCUCUGCUAGAAGAUGGGAGGAGUGCCCAGCUCCAUCUCUUUCCCUCAAAAAGGCGCUGUGCUGCUCUGCACCCAUACUGCUCAACUCCUUCCAAUUCACCCCCCGUGACAGACUGUGGAUCAAGCCUGAUCUAUCCACCCAAACUGCCUGUCCUCAAAACUAAAGAUGAGACACUUGGUCAUUGCAUAAUCUCGCUGCAACACUCAUUCUCUUUGGAGACAUUUGGUUUGUUUUACGAACACUUUGUUCAAAGGAUUACUUGAGCAAAGAUCUUAAAUAUUUACUCAAAACUGUAGCUGAUUCUCUGCAAAUAUAAAUCUUGCAUAACUUUUUGAAGUGAGAUGAAAUAUAUCCUUUUUACUCUUUUGCUUCAGGACGAGGACUACCUCUCUCUCGUUCUUAGCAGAGCUACUUUGUGAGAUUCCAUUUUUACGAUGUGCAGGGGCAAUUCCACGGGAACGGAAUUGCGCUGAGAAUCAGAUUUUUCACUAAUGUACGCCAAACAAAAACCAUUGAUUUAUCUUUAAAAGCCUUGAUUUUCAUCAGUCCACGGUAAUACAAACUGUCUAUAAAUUGAGAAAGUUCAGCACUGUUGCUACUCUCCCUAGGAGUGGCCGUCCUGCAAAGAUGACCGCAAGAGCACAGCGCAGAAUGCUCAAUGAGGUUAAGAAGAAUCCUAGAGUGUCUGCUAAAGACUAACAGAAAUCUCUGGAACAUGAGUGACGAGUCUACGAUACGUAAAACACUAAACAAGAAUGGUGUUCAUGGGAGGACACCACGGAAGAAGCCACUGCUGUCCAAAAAAAACAUUGCUGCACGUCUGAAGUUUGCAAAAGAGCACCUGGAUUUCUACAGCGCUUCUGGCAAAAUAUUCUGUAGACAGAUGAAACUAAAGUUGAGUUGUUUGGAAGGAACACAGAACACUAUGCAUGGAGAAAAAAAGGCACAGCACACCAACAUCAAAACCUCAUCCCAACUGUAAUGUACGGUGGAGAGAGCAUCAUGGUUUGGGGCUGCUUUGCUGCCUCAGGGCCUGAACAGCUUACUAUCAUCAACGGAAAAGUGAAUUCCCAAGUUUAUCAAGACAUUUUGCAGGAGAAUGUAAAGCUAUCUGUCUGCCAAUUGAAGCUCAACAGAAGUUGAGUGAUGCAACAGGACAAUGACCCAAACACAGAAGUCAAUCAACAACAGAAUGGCUUCAAUAGAAGAACAUACGCCUUCUGGAGUGGCCCAGUCAGAGUCCUGACCUUAACCCGAUGUAAAAUGCUGUGGCAUGACCUUGAGAGCGGUUCACACCAGACAUCCUAAGAAUAUUGCUGAACUGAAACCGUUUUGUAAAGUUGAAUGGUCCAAAAUUCCUCCUGACCGUAGUGCAGGUCUGAUCCGCAACUACAGAAAAUGUUUGGUUGAGUUUUUUGCUGCCAAAGAAGGGUCCACCAGUUAUUAAAUCCAAGGGUUCACAUACAUUUCCCACCCUACACUGUGAAUGUUGACGGUGUGUUCAAUGAAGACAUGAAAACAUAUAAUUGUUUGUGUGUUACUAGUUUAAGCAGACUGUGUUUGUCUAUUGUUGUGACUUAGAUGAUGUAUGGCUGGCCCUCGCUACAUAUUCAUUGCCAAACCCAAUGGCUCCAAGUCAUCUAUAAGUCUAUAAUGUAUGCUCUCGUUGGCUUGCCCUCGCUACAUAUUCGUCAUCAAACCCACUGGCUCCAGGUCAUCUAUAAGUCUUUGCUAGGUAAAGCUCUGCCUUAUCUCAGCUCACUGGUCACCAUAGCAACACCCACCCGUAGCACGCGCUCCGGCAGGUAUAUUUCACUGGUCAUCCCCAAAGCCAACACCUGCUUUGGCCGCCUUUCCUUCCAGUUCUCUGCUACCAAUGACUGGAACAAAUUGCAAAAAUCACUGAAGCUGGGGACUUAUAUCUCCCUCACUGACUUUAAGCAUCAGCUGUCAGAGCAGCUUACCGAUCACUGUACCUGUACAUAGCCCAUCUGUAAAUAGCACACCCAACUACCUCAUCCCCAUAUUGUUAUUUAUUUAUUUUUGCUCUUUUGCACCCAAGUAUCUCUGCUUGCACAUCAUCAUCUGCACAUCUAUCACUCCAGUGUUAAUGCUAAAUUGUAAUUACUUCGCCACUAUGGCUUGUUUAUUGCUUACCUCCCUAACCUUACUACAUUUGCACACACUGUACAUAUAUUUUUCUAUUGUCUUUUUGACUGUACGUUUGUUUAUCCCAUGUGUAACUGUGUUGUUGUUUUUGUCACACUGCUU